GACGAACGCUGGCGGCGUGCUUAACACAUGCAAGUCGAACGGAAAGGCCCCUUUGGGGGUACUCGAGUGGCGAACGGGUGAGUAACACGUGAGUAACCUGCCCUUGACUUCGGGAUAACUUCAGGAAACUGGGGCUAAUACCGGAUAGGAAUCCUUGCUGCAUGGUGGGGGUUGGAAAGCUUCGGCGGUUUUGGAUGGACUCGCGGCUUAUCAGCUUGUUGGUGGGGUAGUGGCUUACCAAGGCUUUGACGGGUAGCCGGCCUGAGAGGGCGACCGGCCACAUUGGGACUGAGAUACGGCCCAGACGCCUACGGGAGGCGGCAGUGGGGAAUAUUGCACAAUGGGCGGAAGCCUGAUGCAGCAACGCCGCGUGCGGGAUGACGGCCUUCGGGUUGUAAACCGCUUUCAGCAGGGGCGAAGCUUGUGGUGACGGUACCUGCAGAAGAAGCACCGGCUAACUACGUG
rnacentral:rRNA from 1 species